AUUGAACGCUGGCGGCAGGCCUAACACAUGCAAGUCGAGCGAUCGGCGGACGGGUGAGUAAUGUAUGGGGACUGCCCGAUAGAGGGGGAUAACUACUGGAAACGGUAGCUAAUACCGCAUACUAUCGGCUAACCCAUAUGGGAUUAGCUAGUUGGUGGGGUAAAGGCUCACCAAGGCAACGAUCCGUAGCUGGUGUGAGAGGACGACCAGCCAAACUGGGACUGAGCAACGGCCCAGACUCCUACGGAGGCAGAAGUGGGGAAUUUUGGACAAGGGGGGAAACCCUGAUCCAGCCAUCCCGCGUGUAUGAUGAAGGCCUUCGGGUUGUAAAGUACUUUUGGCAGAGAAGCGGUAUCUGCAGAAUAAGCACCGGCUAACUACGUGCCAGCAGCCGCGGUAAUUC
rnacentral:rRNA from 1 species